AUGUACCACUCGUACACUCCGGUUCUGAGCGCGCCGUCCGCGCCCACCUGACGACUGCUCGCUACGUUUUGUUAGCC
rnacentral:sRNA from 1 species